UAGAGGUCAUAAUUUCUAAUACAUAAUUAUGAUUAACUAAAAUGAGAUGAACUCAUUUUCAGGCAUUCAGGCUCUAAAUAUUUCUGUCAAAAAGUAUUUUGCCACUACAGAUUUUACUAGCCAUCAUAACCUUCUUUGAUAUCUCUACCAAGCACAUCCUUGUGCUACUUAUUUUGAUUGGUUUUCUAUGCAGGCAUGGAAUGAGCAGCAUAGAUCUGGGAUUUCAAAAGGUAGACUAGAAGGCAUGGUUCGAUUGUUUACAGCGGAAACAAAUCACUCUUGUUGAUAAUGAUGGUGUCAAGUUAAAGUUUCUCUUGUGGGGAGAGCAGGUUCUCCUUGCGAAUCUUUUCAGUGUAGGAAGUAUGCUUGCACUGGAUAGACCUUUCAUUGCAAAUGUUAUAGACAGUGAUAUGCAAACAAAUGCUGAAAUCUGUCUUGAAUAUGGUAGUGCCAUGCAGUUAUAUUUGGUCCCCUUUAUUCAACAUGAAGAGCAGGUACUUGUAGCAUCCACACCAAAUUGGUGUCAAGGAUCAAGGCUGUUGAAUGGAUUGAGUCAAAGUCAAGGUCCUAAAGUUUCUCAAG